ACGGCCAUACCACAUUGAAGACACCGGUUCUCGUCCGAUCACCAAAGUUAAGCAAUGUCGGGCCUGGUCAGUACUUGGGAGGGUGACAACCUGGGAACACCGGGUGUUGUAGGCU
rnacentral:rRNA from 1 species